GGGUCUAUCUGCAGUUGAGCGCUGAGGUUGGUACUUGUACCGACUGGAUGAGCAGCGAACGGGUGAGUAACGCGUGGGGAAUCUGCCUUUGAGCGGGGGACAACAUUUGGAAACGAAUGCUAAUACCGCAUAAAAACUUUAAACACAAGUUUUAAGUUUGAAAGAUGCAAUUGCAUCACUCAAAGAUGAUCCCGCGUUGUAUUAGCUAGUUGGUGAGGUAAAGGCUCACCAAGGCGAUGAUACAUAGCCGACCUGAGAGGGUGAUCGGCCACAUUGGGACUGAGACACGGCCCAAACUCCUACGGGAGGCAGCAGUAGG
rnacentral:rRNA from 1 species